rnacentral:rRNA from 1 species
UACGUAGGGUGCAAGCGUUGUUCGGAAUCAUUGGGCGUAAAGCGCGUGUAGGCGGCUAGUUAAGUCGAUUGUGAAAUCCCUGGGCUCAACCUAGGAAGUGCAGUCGAAACUGCCUAGCUUGAAGAUGUUAGAGGAGGGUGGAAUUCCAAGUGUAGAGGUGAAAUUCGUAGAUAUUUGGAGGAAUACCGGUGGCGAAGGCGGCCCUCUGGGACAUUCUUGACGCUGAGACGCGAAAGCGUGGGUAGCAAACAGG